GACAGCAGGGGCAGGGUGAAGUGGUGAAAGGCUAGAGAAACUUGUGGGUGGUGGCUGGGGCUGGCCUUGAGUUGGCUGGACGUGUACUGGACCUGGUUCUUGACAUUAGUUUUCUUGGCCUGAAAUCAAUUUCACUUAAACUGCAUCUCAUCCAGGCUGAAGUGCAGAUGUAAUAGGAAGUGGCAUUCUGUCACUGCAGAGUGCUUAACAAGGUUCAGUACUAGUGCCACUUCCCUUGAAACUUCAGAACCUCUUCAGGCUUAAGAUCAUCUGCACAGUAGAUUCCUUUAACUUCUAGUCCAUCACCUUUGCCAACAUUUCAAAUUAUCCCAGAAUGGAGGAAGGAGCUACAGGUGGUAUGGAAUGUGAGGAGGAGGAGCAGAACAAGGACGCAAUUAACCUGCGUCAGUGUAUCAGCCAGGCUCUCAAGACCUCAGUUAGAGAUGCGCUGGCGCUCCUCUAUCGUGAAAGAUUCCCCAUGGCACACCCUAACACACGGCCUUAUGAUGUACUCAACGCUCACGGCUGGGCUCGUACACUGCUCAAGCGUAAUCCUCAAAUGAGUGAGAGGAUCAAGGAGAACAUUGUGGACAAGCUGGACGUGUCAGCCUUGGCAUUUUGCUGCGUUAUGGAUGUGGGCUGUCAACAAUGAUAAGAUGUGGAAAAAUCCCUUUAGUUUAGAAGGGAAUAUUCAGAAGCUGCGUGAUCUACGGAAUGAGGAUGCUCACUGGACACAAACGACCUGCUCUAAAGAUGAUCUAGAGACCACCUGGAUGCAGCUGGUUGAGGCUGUAAGAAACGUCCUCCACCUGGGUGGCCUUACCAAACAUCAG